AGUAGGUCUAGUUUGCAUCUUUUCAAAAUAAGUCUAGUUAGCAUUGAAUGCUAAAGCAAUAUGCACUUGUAGGACUUUGCUGAAAUGUGACUAUAGACAUCUAUCAUAUAGGGAACAAAACUAUAACUCUGUGAUCUGAAGGUGAAGUAGAAUUGGAUGCUUUAAUGGUCUCUGUGGGUGCUAAAGCCACUGUAGAUAACUUGGAGGACCAAUAACAAAGACAUCAGGGGACAAUGGUGUAUAGAAACUGGAAGGUUCUUUGGUUAGUGAAUAAUCAAGGUCUAGAUUCGUUCAUGCAUAUUUCUGCCUUAUAUUGUUUCUAAGUGUACAAUCUAACCCUCACAGCUUAAUUGAACCUACCCAGUUUUCUGGCUUAACCUAAAUUUUUUUGGGUUGAGUGGGUAUGGCUCUUCUGUCAUCCUGUCCCCGACUGAUCAGAGUGUUUUUUCUUGGUAACUUUGCCAAAUAUUUGAUACUUGACUACAUGUAAGGAUGAAAUAUUUCAAAAGCUUCUUAUUUAUUUUGCAAGUAAAAAUAAAGGAAAGAAUUUCCAAAAGAGAUGGGUCUUUUGACUACUGCCAAAGCUACUUCUCUAAUGCCAGGUUAAUACUUGGCAGUGAUGAGGUUUACAUGGGAAAUUUGGUUUGCCAAGCCUUAGCAAUCCUUAGAAAACUGGUUCAGUAUCAUGAAUUCUUUUUAAUAAAUUUCAACCGUCCUUGCAUC